CACAAUCAUGUCAAUCUCCAAAUCUUUUAAGAGGUGAGAGAAGAGUUUAAAGAUAUUUGUACGGAAAGACUUGAGCCUCUGGACUUUCCCUCUUCCUUUUCCUCUUCUUUUCAUUUCUGCAUUCUCUCUUAGUUCCUCUCUCUGCCUUGUUUUGUCAAUAAAAUGUAUUUAGAAGGGGAGUGAAAUUACCAGUUGGAAAGAAACACGAAGGGACUGUUUAAGCUUGGGAUAUUGAUAAGCAGAAGCCACGCUGGGAUUCGCUGAAUCUUGCAGUCUAACUGACCUAGAAAGGAAACAUUUCGAAGGAGGAGAUGAGAGCACUCCAGGUAUGAAAGAGAAGGCGAUAUAGACAGAGAUGCACACACAAGUAGAGAAAUUUACAAAUUGUAUGUCCCAGGAGUGACAGUAUUUGGCAAGGUUAGGUUUUUUAUUGCUGUACAACCAUUUAUACAAUCUACCUUUUCAAACAAUGUUGAAAAUGCAUUUUAAUGACAUACAAGUGGGAGGCCCUCUUUCUUAAAAUACUUUCAUUUGCCUAAUUAAAAUGGUUCUAUUUCCCAUCCACAGAUAGCAGAACAUUCCCAUUCAGUCUUUUGUUGCAUGAUAAGGAGUAAGGAAAGCAACUAAAUAAAGUAAGAACAAACAUAAGGUGGGAGUGCACAGUGGCAAAAUCUGCAUACCAGCUAUUUUUGAAAUGUUUCACAGUUGUGAGUGUCUUACCAUCAACUUCAGUGGAUCCAGGAUCUCACCCUUUAUAAUUAAAGAUACAACUCCCAGAAACGAGAUUUUUUUCAUCACCCUAACAUUUACAUAACCACAUGGGCAUGGCAGAUAUAGGAAAUACAGAGUUAGAAGCUGGGAAAGAGAAAGAGGAAUUUCUCCAAGUAGAAGGAAACUGGAGUGAUUUCAAUUUUGUAACUAAUUCAGAAGGUAAAUUUGAGUUAAAUUAUACUGUUCAAUGGCUAUUUGGAGAAUGUGAUUAGAAUAAUGAACUUUAAAUAAGAAUAAUCACUCUGAUAAUCAGGAUUUCAAUUUUAAACACAGAUUUAUUUGUGUACUUAGCUCUUUUCAACCCUGAAAUUCUUCCUUUUUGGAAAGAGAUAUCUAAAUGUGUCAGUGAUGGAGCUCACUAAUAUAGAGGCAGCUUAUGGUAGCAGCCGAGAUCUCAAGUGAACCCUUGCACCACCAGUCACAGACACCAGGGGUGUGUCUAGACUACUGAGUUUUGUCGACAAAAGUGGA